rnacentral:lncRNA from 1 species
UUCUGGGUAUACAGCAUUUCAGGGAAGAGGAAAACAACCCAAGUAGUCUGAAUUACACAUUAUUGCAACUAACAGAAUUGUUUUACUCUUUUUCCUCUUUGAGUCAUCUACUUUGGUGCUCUGAGGGUUCAGGAGGAAAUAGAGGAAGAGUUCUGAUCCACGCAUGGAAAGCAGUCCCUUCAGGACCUUUGGAUCUCAGAUCUGCAGUCUCUCCAAUACUUCAGUGUCCCAACAGCUAAAGAAUCUGAGUAUCUGAAUACGUCUCUAAACUUCUAAUAACAUGGCAGUACGUUUUCCUGGAGAGCUAAUUUGGGAGGGUUGGGCAGCAACAACUCCCAAAGAAGCAAUUCACAAGAAUAACAUUAAAGCAGCUUUGAUUGGUAUGAACAUCCCAUUGGAACAGGAGAUGCUAACUAGGGAAUGA